rnacentral:rRNA from 1 species
CAAUAGCGUAUAUUUAAGUUGUUGCAGUUAAAAAGCUCGUAGUUGAAUUUCUGGUGGGCGCGCCGGUCUUCCAAGUGUUGUACUGGGCGCAGUCCGCCAUCCUUGUGGAGAGGGCUCGCAUUGAGUUGCGUGUCGGAUCUGCAUCAUUUACUGUGAAAAAAUUAGAGUGUUUAAAGCAGGCUGUCGCUUGAAUACAUUAGCAUGGAAUAAUAAGAUAGGACUUCGGUCUAUUUUGCUGGUUGCGAACCGAGGUAAUGAUUAAUAGGGAUAGUUGGGGGUAUUCAUAUUUAAUUGUCAGAGGUGAAAUUCUUGGAUUUAUGAAAGAUGAACAACUGCGAAAGCAUUUACCAAGGAUGUUUNCAUUAA